GGGUGUUUUUCAGGUGAUGCACCCCAGAAUCAGGCUCCCUCUUCUCUGGUACCGGGGUGUGUCACCCAAGAACCUCC
rfam:Myotis brandtii contig322957, whole genome shotgun sequence.